rnacentral:rRNA from 1 species
AGAGUUUGAUCAUGGCUCAGGAUGAACGCUGGCGGCGUGCCUAACACAUGCAAGUCGAACGAAGCACCUUACCGGAUUCUUCGGAUGAAGGUCUGGUGACUGAGUGGCGGACGGGUGAGUAACGCGUGGGUAACCUGCCCUGUACAGGGGGAUAACAGCUGGAAACGGCUGCUAAUACCGCAUAAGCGCACGAGGAGACAUCUCCUAGUGUGAAAAACUCCGGUGGUACAGGAUGGGCCCGCGUCUGAUUAGCUGGUUGGCAGGGUAACGGCCUACCAAGGCAACGAUCAGUAGCCGGUCUGAGAGGAUGAACGGCCACAUUGGAACUGAGACACGGUCCAAACUCCUACGGGAGGCAGCAGUGGGGAAUAUUGCACAAUGGGGGAAACCCUGAUGCAGCAACGCCGCGUGAGUGAAGAAGUAUUUCGGUAUGUAAAGCUCUAUCAGCAGGGAAGAUAAUGACGGUACCUGACUAAGAAGCUCCGGCUAAAUACGUGCCAGCAGCCGCGGUAAUACGUAUGGAGCAAGCGUUAUCCGGAUUUACUGGGCGUAAAGGGCGCGUAGGCGGCUCGGUAAGUCUGGAGUGAAAGUCCUGCUUUUAAGGUGGGAAUUGCUUUGGAUACUGUCGGGCUUGAGUGCAGGAGAGGUUAGUGGAAUUCCCAGUGUAGCGGUGAAAUGCGUAGAGAUUGGGAGGAACACCAGUGGCGAAGGCGACUAACUGGACUGUAACUGACGCUGAGGCGCGAAAGUGUGGGGAGCAAACAGGAUUAGAUACCCUGGUAGUCCACACUGUAAACGAUGAAUGCUAGGUGUAGGGGGUAUCGACCCCUUCUGUGCCGCAGUCAACACAAUAAGCAUUCCGCCUGGGGAGUACGGCCGCAAGGUUGAAACUCAAAGGAAUUGACGGGGGCCCGCACAAGCAGCGGAGCAUGUGGUUUAAUUCGACGCAACGCGAAGAACCCUACCAGGUCUUGACAUCCACUUAAACUUACAGAGAUGUAAGGUGUGCUUGCACAAAGUGAGACAGGUGGUGCAUGGUUGUCGUCAGCUCGUGUCGUGAGAUGUUGGGUUAAGUCCCGCAACGAGCGCAACCCUUAUCUUCAGUUACUAACGCGUGAGGGUGAGGACUCUGAAGAGACUGCCGGGGACAACUCGGAGGAAGGUGGGGACGACGUCAAAUCAUCAUGCCCCUUAUGACCUGGGCUACACACGUGCUACAAUGGCCACGACAGAGAGAAGCGAAAUCGCAAGGUAGAGCGGAACUCAAAAAAGUGGUCCCAGUUCGGAUUGUGGGCUGCAACCCGCCCACAUGAAGUCGGAGUUGCUAGUAAUCGCGGAUCAGCAUGCCGCGGUGAAUACGUUCCCGGGCCUUGUACACACCGCCCGUCACACCAUGGGAGUUGGGAGUGCCCAAAGCCGGUGAGGCAACCGCAAGGAGCCAGCCGUCUAAGGCAAGACCAAUGACUGGGGUGAAGUCGUAACAAGGUA